UACACCGCGAUGGUUUGUCCUGCCAUGACGUCCAGGCCCGCAUAGGCAAGGUAUGCAAAGCCUUUGGUAGCUUGAAGCAAGCCGUGUUCGAGAACCAGUCAUUGAGUCUGCAGUGCCGUCGUCGCGUGUAUGUUGCCGUGGUGCUCUCUAUCCUCCUGUAUGGCGCGGAGACCUGGACAACGAAGGCUUCGGACCUACGGCAUCUCAACCUCUUCCACCAUCAAUGUGUGAGAACUAUCGUUGGAGUGUCGCGACGGCAGCAAUGGGAGACCCACGCAACGUCCUCAGCCCUUGCAAAGACCCUUGGAGUGCCUGAGGGCAUUGGUCACAUCAUACGGGAACGGCGUUUGCGCUGGCUUGGACACGUGGCACGGAUGGAGGAUUACCGGUUGCCAAAGUGUGUUCUCUUCGGUGACCUACCUGCCCCGCGCCCGGUGCAUGGUCCACGCAAGAGAUGGAGGGACAUCGUUAUGGAUGACUGUGCGUCGGUUGAGCCACCGGUACCAGCAUGUGGAUGGUAUGAUGCAGCCCAGAACCGUCGGGAGUGACGUACCAUUGCUCGUCGACCACCCAAGGCACCCUCUGCUGCUGGCUACGGUUGUGCCUGCGGCCGCAUGUUCCGUCGAAGCGGCGACCUGAAACGCCAUCAGUCAUUCUGUCGUGGACUGGAGAAAUAACAAUGCGCUAUCAUUGCUACGCAAUGGGCAAGGGCCGCAACCGUCCUCGCUGUUCUCGGACCUGUCAUUGUCCCACAUCAUCAAAGUAAAAUGACUUCACACACGCCUGCAUCUGUUAGCGCCGCUUCCGUCUGCUUCAGCACUUGAGGUGAUAUCAGUCGACGUGCUACUUCUUUCCCUCUACUGCCCCUCUGGGGCCCAUGUGACCCUUGCUACAGUGGCUCGACAGAAUAGGACAGGACAGGCAGCCGUCAAUUAAGGGUGAGUGUUGUCUGCUGUUCGGAACUCAAUUGCCGCCCAUCUUGCAUAUUUGGAGCAAUCUGUUCCGAAGACAGUAGAGGGAGUGUACUGGCUGAUUCCAGGAACAACCAACAAUCCAGAGUCAGGAAUCAGCAAAACUUCCUAGUUUGUUUACUUGUGAUCAGGUCAAACAUGCUGCUGCAGAAGUACAAGAACAAGAAGUGACUCCGCAGUGCCCAGGCAUCAGAAAAAUAGCCAGUGGUCAGGGAACAAGAGUGGCAAUAGCAGUGGUCAGGGUGGUAGCGAUAAGACAAGCAGUGCCUGAGUGACAACACCAGAAGUGAAAUCAGCAGCAGCAGCAACAGCAUCAGAAGCAGCAACAACAACGCUAGAAGCAGCAGCAACACCAUCAGAAGCAGCAGCAACACCAUCAGAAGCAGCAGCAACAGCAUCAGAAGCAGCAACAUCAACAGUAUCAGAAGCAACAACAACAGCAGCAGCCAUGGCAGAGAACUUUUAUUGAAAAUCCACCUGAAACAGCAGCAGCAGCAGCAGUAGCGGCAGCUUCAACUGUGCUGUGGCUGGUGGUGAUUGAGGUACUGGUGGCGAUGGUACAUGACUACAUGACUAUAUGUAGCUGUGGUAGCGGCAGUGGUGAUGAUGAUGAUAUUAGCGAUGAUAGCUGUGGUGUUGGCGGUGGUGGCGAUAGCGGUACGUGACGAUGGCAGUGGCAGUUCUGAUGGUGUCAGUGGCAGCAGUGGCGGUGACGGCAGUAACGUUGACGACACCAGCAGCGGUGAGAUUGCUGGCAUGCCAGCAGCAUUUUGCAACAGCAGUGAGAUGGUUGUCAUGGUAGCAGCAGCAGCAGCAGCAGUGGUUGUGGUAACAGUAAAUAGGGUAUUGGCGGAAAUCGUAGUCUUGUUUAACCAGUAUGCAUUCUUGACUAUUGCAGACUUAGGAAUGAAUCAGCAAGCUAUGUAAACUUAUAAUUAUUAUAUUGUGACUACUUGUAAGGUGCUGCAGACCAUGGUGGCAACUUCCCUCGAGCACCAAGCAGGUGAUGACACUAUCAUGUGACAGUGUUCAUUUGAUUCCCUCUUCUCUCCGAUCAUAUUAAUGACUCAUAGUGGAUCCUUUGACAUUGGUUAGGGUUUGAUUUCUUGCAUGCUUUGGAUCCUUUGAAGUGCUAUUCGAUUUCCUGAGUUUUCGUGAAAUCUUCACAUCUUUGUCAGCUCUUUUGCACAUGACCUUGAUGUCACUGAUCAUUGCUAUUGAACUCAUAACACUGUCGCUUGUCUUCGCAUCCAAGUGUGCUAUGGAUGAUGAUGAUGAUGAAAUUCACUCCCAUCUCAUCAUGUUCUACCCUGAGUUACAUGCUACACUCAUGUGCCUUUGUCACUGCAUAGCCAUAAACUCCUAUCCAUCAUUUUUUUUCUUAAAUCCUUU